GGCUCUGUAGUGAAGUUCAUGGUGAGUUGCAAGCUCAUCGAUGUACAUUGAUUGUGUGCCGGGGCCU
rnacentral:tRNA from 1 species